CAACAUAACACAUCCUAUGCUAUUACAUACAUUCACAUUUAUAUGCUUUACAUCCCAACCACCAAUCUUUUUACAUUAGACUUUCAAAUACAAUCUAAAUUAUUACAUCAUAGAUAUUACAAGUUUAAUACAUUUUGUUCCUUUCAUUUUCUAUACCCCUAAGCUACGCUGACGGGGUACUGCUAGCUCUGGUCUCUGGGGGUAGUGCGCUAUCUAUGGAGCUACGCCCUUGCCUCGCGCCGCCGCGCCGCUCACGUGCAAACCUAUAAAACCCCAAAACAACGUGGGGUGAGAACCAACUCCAUGGUUCCCAGUGGGUACGGCCACCCAAGGGAGGAGCUCGACCAACAGGUCCAAGGGAGGCAAAUACAAGUUAGUCCAAUAAACAAAUAGAUAUGUAUAUCAUAAACAUGCAACUAACUUUACCUUGCUUUGCCUCACAACUGCAAUGAUGCCAUGCUAUAUGCAACAGGAAUAUAUGCAACAUGAAUAUAUGCAACAACCAGUAGAAUUAUUGAUUCUACAAUCAAUCUUGCUAAUCUUAGCUCAUGUCGUCCAACUCUAAGGUUUCUACUACCCUAGGUUUAUCACAUUUACCACUAGCCCUCAAGGUUCUAUCUACCUUAUUCCAGCUAGCCACCCGACUCGGCCUCGAGUCAAUCAACAGCGGAUAAUCCGCGCUCUGCCCGGCUCGAGGUGAAGGAUCCUGUCGCAUGCACCUCAGCCUGCAAGCCAAGAACCACAUCGCCCAACGGUCCGCCCGAAGGUCCGUGCACCGUGGUCAGGGAUCCGCUAGUGGGAGAGGAAACAUAGCCGCGUACACCCAUAGCCAAGAUCCCCGAUAGGGAGAGGAACAUGCCGCGUACACCCUAGCGCUCUUUGUUCUUGCUUAGUCAUAAUCCUCAAAGUUCUUUCCGGUGGGAGAGGAACAUCGCCGCAUACACCCGCGGUCCAAGAACUAUUGAGUUCACAAGUACUGGGAUUCCGGAAUCGACUUCACAAGUCAAGGGUCCAUAUCCAACCCUAUACUAUUGACCUAUCUAGGUCCAAUGCACUUUCCACCCUAGGUCCAACUGACUCUAGGUCUAAUGCCUC
rnacentral:lncRNA from 1 species